CAGGCGCGUAGCUGCGUACGUAGGACCAUUUUUGACACAAAAUGGUCAAGCAACAUUUUAGCUGCGUACCUCGCGUACAUAGUACGCGAGGUACGCGCUUGGUGUGUUCGCACCUUCAGAUACUAUUCCCUCUCUUCGAUUUCAUAGCUAUCAUACCAAAAUGACCAACGAAGGCGAAGGACAACUCUGGGGUGGUGACUGGUCUGUCUAGUUACUGGACCAGAUGAAAUGAGACGGAGAGCAGGUUAUUUUGCCCAACAACUGCGUGUGCAGUACUGCACAACAUUUGCGUUGGUGUGGGCGAUGACCUCCCAGUGGAGGAUGGGGCCCUGGAGGGAGAUGACCCUCCUCUUGAAGGAGAAUGUGGCACGGAGUCACAGAGUGGAGCUCCUUGGCGUGCGGCACUGGCCAAUGCCAUUACCCCUCUUGAAGUGGCUCCACAGGACCACGACUACUUUGUUCUGCCUGUGACCGGACCAAGACAUACAUUUUAACAUACAUUUUUUUUAUAUUAUUUAAUCACUUUUAUCCAUUAUGAAUGUGUUUUUUGUUGUGGUUGAUCGAAUCCUCUUUAUUUAAAAAAAUCAAUUACAUUUUUGUAAAA